rnacentral:rRNA from 1 species
AUUGAACGCUGGCGGCAGGCCUAACACAUGCAAGUCGAGCGGAUGAAGGGAGCUUGCUCCUGGAUUCAGCGGCGGACGGGUGAGUAAUGCCUAGGAAUCUGCCUGGUAGUGGGGGAUAACGUCCGGAAACGGGCGCUAAUACCGCAUACGUCCUGAGGGAGAAAGUGGGGGAUCUUCGGACCUCACGCUAUCAGAUGAGCCUAGGUCGGAUUAGCUAGUUGGUGGGGUGAAGGCCUACCAAGGCGACGAUCCGUAACUGGUCUGAGAGGAUGAUCAGUCACACUGGAACUGAGACACGGUCCAGACUCCUACGGGAGGCAGCAGUGGGGAAUAUUGGACAAAGGGCGAAAGCCUGAUCCAGCCAUGCCGCGUGCGUGAAGAAGGUCUUCGGAUUGUAAAGCACUUUAAGUUGGGAGGAAGGGCAGUAAGUUAAUACCUUGCUGUUUUGACGUUACCAACAGAAUAAGCACCGGCUAACUUCGUG